GACGAACCGUGCAACGUUGUUCGGAAUCACUGGGCUUAAAGGGCGCGUAGGCGGGCAAGCAAGUCGAAGGUGAAAUCCCACGGCUCAACCGUGGAAGUGCCCCCGAUACUGCUUGUCUUGAGGGAGAUAGGGGCGUGCGGUAACUUCCGGUGGAGCGGUGAAAUGCGUAGAUAUCGGAAGGAACACCGGUGGCGAAAGCGGCGCGCUGGAUCUCUUCGACGCUGAGGCGCGAAAGCC
rnacentral:rRNA from 1 species